AGGACGAACGCUGGCGGCGUGCUUAACACAUGCAAGUCGAGCGAGGCCCGUCCUUCGGGACGGUGCCCUAGCGGCGAACGGGUGAGUAACACGUGGGCAACCUGCCCCUAGCACUGGGAUAACUCCGGGAAACCGGGGCUAAUACCGGAUAUGACCUUUGAGGGCAUCCUCGAGGGUGUAAAGGAUUCUGGCUAGGGAUGGGCCCGCGGCCUAUCAGCUUGUUGGUGGGGUAAUGGCCUACCAAGGCGACGACGGGUAGCCGGCCUGAGAGGGCGACCGGCCACACUGGGACUGAGACACGGCCCAGACUCCUACGGGAGGCAGCAGUGGGGAAUAUUGCACAAUGGGCGAAAGCCUGAUGCAGCGACGCCGCGUGAGGGAUGACGGCCUUCGGGUUGUAAACCUCUUUCAGCAGGGACGAAGCGAAAGUGACGGUACCUGCAGAAGAAGCACCGGCCAACUACGUGCCAGCAGCCGC
rnacentral:rRNA from 1 species